ACGAACGCUGGCGGCAGGCUUAACACAUGCAAGUCGAGGGGUAACAGGGAUUGCUUGCAAUCCGCUGACGACCGGCGCACGGGUGCGUAACGCGUAUGCAACCUACCUUCUACAGGGGGAUAGUCAAUAGAAAUGUUGAAUAAUACCCCAUACGAUCUUUGAAUAGCAUUAUUUAGAGAAGAAAGCUCCGGCGGUAGAAGAUGGGCAUGCGUCCUAUUAGUUAGUUGGUGAGGUAACGGCUCACCAAGACUGCGAUAGGUAGGGGCCCUGAGAGGGGAUCCCCCAACUGGUACUGAGACACGGACCAGACUCCUACGGGAGGCAGCAGUAAGGAUAUUGG
rnacentral:rRNA from 1 species